rnacentral:rRNA from 1 species
UACGGAGGGUGCGAGCGUUGUCCGGAAUCACUGGGCGUAAAGGGCGCGUAGGCGGCUCAUGAAGGCUGUGGUGAAAGUCCGGGGCUCAACCUCGGAUCGGCCGUGGCGACUCGUGGGCUGGAGCACUGUAGAGGCGGGUGGAAUUCCGGGGUGUAGCGGUGGAAUGCGUAGAGAUCCGGAAGAACACCAGUGGCGAAGGCGGCCCGCUGGGCAGUGGCUGACGCUGAAGCGCGACAGCGUGGGGGAGCGAACAGG